UGAGGGGUCGACUAACGGGUCUAAGUCGCCAGUUUUUGGUACUGGAAACCGGGGUUCAAGUCCUCGCCCCUCAG
rnacentral:tRNA from 1 species